rnacentral:rRNA from 1 species
UACAGAGGGUGCGAGCGUUGUUCGGAAUUAUUGGGCGUAAAGCGCUUGUAGGCGGCUUGUUAAGUUCCGUGUGAAAUCCCCAGGCUUAACCUGGGAAGUGCGCGGAAAACUGGCGAGCUUGAGUGCCGGAGAGGGUCGCGGAAUUCCCGGUGUAGAGGUGAAAUUCGUAGAUAUCGGGAGGAACACCAGUGGCGAAGGCGGCGACCUGGACGGACACUGACGCUGAGACGCGAAAGCGUGGGGAGCAAACAGGAUUAGAUACCCUGGUAGUCCACGCUGUAAACGAUGGGUGCUAGUUGUGGCGGGUUUUGACCCCUGCCGUGACGCAGCUAACGCAAUAAGCACCCCGCCUGGGAAGUACGGCCGCAAGGCUAAA